UGGCGCGAUAUGGUGUGAUUGACAGCUCGGCUACCGGGCAUGCGCGGUGAGGCUGAUCCGGUAACCUAGGCGCCGACUGGGCCUGAGAUCUCGGCGGGGCCCGAGGGGCCUUUACAGGACCUAGAGACCUGUCCAGUGCUCUAAUUUUAAGGAACUACUACUCCUUCAGCCUUUGAAUGCCAAGUGGCCUACAGCAAGUGUUCAGGAUCGUGUUAUGUAGAGAGCCUGGCUCUUCACUUUUUAUUUUGUACAAAUCGUCCAAUUAACAUUCAGCAGUCAAUUGCAUGUUUAAUCCUGGGUGGUUGGAUCCACAGGAGCUAUGAACCAAAACCAGCUGGAUCCUCAGCCCCAGGUGACCCAUACCCCGAAGCCUUCUGCUGGCAUUCUUGCCAGUGCUGACGAGAAAGUUCAUUCCUCUGUUGCCUCUCCUGCAAGUGGUUCAGCUGCCAGCCCUUCUCCUACCACUGGUUCGGGGUUGACGCAGAGUGUGUCCAGCCCUGGCACCUACAUCCAGAUUCCAAUCAAUGCUGAGGUUCGCUGGAUCUCCACGUUCUCGUUGCCUACGGCAGUUCAACACAAGAUCUUUGGAGGAGCCAACAACCUGCCCAAGGGUGGGGAAGGCAGCAAACCGACCACAGCUAUUUAUAUCUACCCAGUCAACCCAGUGAAGGUGACUGAGGCGAAUCGCCUCUUGCCUUUGGUGCCCAAACCGUUACCGCUGACCCGGGGAGCUAGCGGGGGGACUGUUCCAGCUCAGGAAACAUCCACUGCCUCACCGGUGGCCAAGGUGUCGAGCAAAGAACCUUCAGGAAGACACACCAAAGUGAGCAGAACAAGCAAGGCAUGUGCUCCCACUCCUACGCCUGUUUCUGUAAAAUUUUGUGACAAUCUGGCUUCUCAGGUGCUGAAGACAUUUGUGAGGCAGCAAGCAAAGGGUGCCAGCAUGGAUAGUUUGAUGAAGGCUUACUCCAACAGCCCGCUGGAAACCAAGUUUGGGAGUUCAUUCAAAGACAAUGCACUGCUUCUCUUUGAUGGACAGCUAUAUUUCCUAGCCCAAAAAGGCAUUGAAAUUCCCACUGGUGCUGAAAAAGGACGGCAGCCAGUAAGGAGAUCAUGUGACCCAAAGGUGGUCCCUGCUGAGGAAGAGAGGCUGGCACAGAGGAUUGAGGGUGGUCGUUACUCGCUUAACACUUCAAACACCAGACAGGAUGCUGAUUCGCCUGACAAAAGCCAUGAACGUGACACGAAAGGAAAAGAAAAGCGAGUAAAGAGAAACAAAUGUUCAAAUACAACUUGUGGGAUGGAUGUAGGUGGCCACGACGCAAGUGCGCAUCCAGUUGAGAAUGGGUCGAAUCUGGGACAAGAGGUUGUGAAAAAAUUACCGAAUACCCUUUCAGGAAAAUGUGCUCACGACCCUUGGAUUUCUAAGGACAGAGACUUGUUGUUAAAAGCAGGAAUCCAUGCUGAUGUCAGAGUUUGCCUUAACCGAAUAUCCUCCAUUGACCUUGCUAAUACUUCGGGAUGUCGGUUGGAAAGUCCCAUGAAAUAUGUUACAAAAUUCUCUGAGAAGCCUGAUCCCAUGGAUUUGAAAAAAUGUGCAGAACACUCAUUGGUGCCUGGCCCAGCAGAAUUAGAGGAAUGCCCAGAGCUUAUCAGGGAGCAUUAUCCAACAGAAUUCAGAGAGUGUCCAAAGCUUUUCAAGGAGUGUGCAGUAGCAGAUUUAGAAGGAGGUCUGGAUGCGUUGAGGGUGCCUGACAUGGUAGCAUCUCAAGAAUGUCCAGUACUGUCUAAAGAACUUCCAUUGGAAGAAUGUGCAGCCAUCUCUGAAGCAUUUAGCCCACCAAAACUGGAGAAAAGCCCAGCCAUCUUGAAGAAGCCUGGUUCAUUAACAUUGGAAGAAUGUCACAAUUAUUCCAAAACCUGUGUCACAAUAGAAUUAGAAGGUGUUGAUGCUGACAAUGUACUGAGCACGGUGGAAUGUGGAGAACAUUCAGACCCUGCUGUGAGUUCAAGUUCAGCAGAUUUGAUGGACUGUCUUUCUGAAUCUGAAGAGGGAGACCAUAGUAAACUCCAAAGAAAGAGGAAAGAGGUAUUUAAUUUUAUUGAGAACAUAGUGAUCUGUUUAAUGCUGAGUGGUGUGGGAAAGUUGAGAGAGAUGAAACUGAAAUUAGAGAUGUGGAGGGCAAAUCAAACUUCUUUUAAUUGUGGAAAGAUUGCAAGGAUUUGGGAACUUAAUGUUUAUUAUUAGUUGUGUAACAGUUGUGGUAUCCUCUCAAUGCUGAUGAAUGGGUAAAUCAAUCAGAAUGGAAAGGAAGAGAAUUCAUAGUAUUCUAAGUGAACAGAUUGGUAAGUAGUUCUGUCAUCAGGAUUGGAGUAUUUGUUGUGACUUUGUUUGAAAUCAGAUGGUGCAAAGGAAAAUUAUAUUUGGAAUAUCAAUACAUUGGCCAGGAUUUUCCCUUUUUUAUUUAGUGUGGUGAUCCCUAGGAAUGAGUGAGUGCCUCACCCAUAGAGAGAGCCUGCUAAGUCAAGUGUCAGUCAGACACUUAAGUUGUCACUUGGUGGACUUCUUGGUCACUUACUUCCUGGACACUGACAUCUCCCUGCCUGAAAGUUCAAGCCAAUCAGAUGCUGCUGUGAUGGAGAAGGGCAGCGUAACUUUGAAGGUGGAGGCUGCUGGUUGCACAGCAAUACUGAAGACCAGGAACCGCUGGAAGAUGUGGCAUUUUUUGGGAGGUGGGAUCAAGGGGUUUAGAAACAAGGGUGGUGGGGUGACUUGUGGUGGCCAAGCACCUAAUUGCAACCCCCCCCUUCCACACCACUGGGGCAUAUGGGUUCCCCCAACCUGGCAAGCAGGCUGUAUCAUUUUACCAGAGAGGCUGCUAAUUUUCUUGUCAGCCGGGAGAAGGGUUAAUUGGGCUGAUAACAGAAUGAGGCUCUUGAGUUAUCAUUAAUUGAUCAUUUAAGGGCUUUAAUUGGUGACUGUCAACAAUGAGCCUUUUUUCCCAGAUCAUAAAUCCCUAAGAAAUAAAUUUUAAUAAAUCUUGAUCGUGUCAGCCUACCUGAUUAUUUGCCCUUCUUACCAAUUUAAGGGAGGGAAACAUCCCAGUCUGUAAUAAGAUUGUAACAGUAUUCCAAGGGCACACGCUGGAAAAAGGUGCUGUGCUGCAUGCUUUUACGUACGCUGACUGGUCCUAACAAUUUUAACCUGAAUCCUCUAUGGCGAGUCAAGCAUGCAUUGAGUCUCCCCAGGGGUGGAAAUGAAGGUAGCUACAUGCCCCACUUUGGUUUCUAACAAAGUAAUCAUUCUUGAACCAACAUUGGACAAGACUGUGGUAAAACUCUUUGCUUUUUUUCUGCACUCCUGCUUUUGUAGUGGGAAAACAUUAUUCAGUUAAAUCCUUGUUUUGGUGCUAAUUUUAGAAUCUGAAUAAACAAGCAGAACUUUUCCCUCUGGAAUUCCCAGAUGUAAAUAUUGGUAGUUAAGCAACUUAUUCCCAAAUGAUGACCUGUGAAGCUGGAAAAUAUAUUUGCGACUUAGUGUAAUAGUGAUAUCAAAAACGUUCUAAAUAGUCUGGGCUUUUAUUCCCCUCUGUAAUUCAGAGAGAGGGUCACUAAUGCUGGUCAAUGUAAGGCGUCCAUUAUGAAAAUUGUAUCAGGAACAUUCCAGUAGAAGGUCGAAAUUGUGACUUCUGAGUGUACAGGCUUGGAUUGGACUGCUCAAUCUGUAACUGCUAAGAAGAGAAAGCAGCCUCAAGUGAACCUUGCUCC